rnacentral:rRNA from 1 species
UACGGAGGGUGCGAGCGUUGUCCGGAAUCACUGGGCGUAAAGGGCGCGUAGGCGGCCUGAUAAGUAGGGGGUGAAAUCCUGCGGCUUAACCGCAGGGCUGCCUUCUAAACUGUCAGGCUUGAGCACAGUAGAGGCAGGUGGAAUUCCCGGUGUAGCGGUGAAAUGCGCAGAUAUCGGGAGGAACACCAAUGGCGAAGGCAGCUUGCUGGGACGGUACUGACGCUGAGGCGCGAAAGCGUGGGGAGCGAACAGG